GUGCCAGCCGCCGCGGUAAUACCGGCAGCCCGAGUGAUGGCCGAUCUUAUUGGGCCUAAAGCGUCCGUAGCUGGCCGCGCAAGUCCAUCGGAAAAUCCACCCGCCCAACGGGUGGGCGUCCGACGGAAACUGCACAGCUUGGGACCGGAAGGCUCGAAGGGUACGUUCGGGGUAGGAGUGAAAUCCCAUAAUCCCGCACGGACCACCGAUGGCGAAAGCACUUCGAGAAAACGGAUCCGACAGUGAGGGACGAAAGCUGGGAUCUCGAACCGGAUUAGAAACCCCGGUAGUCC
rnacentral:rRNA from 1 species